UUUGUCUUGUAGGGUCACAUAACGAACAGCCAUCUGUCAGACAGAGAAUUCAGGAACGCUCUUCCAGGCCAUGUGCCAGAACCGAAUGAGUAUUGUCUCCAGUCCCAAGUUCUUCAUUGCCAUCCCAGUCCCAGAGGACGCCCCAGUCUGCAUUGCGGAGAGAGCACAGAAGUGAGGGUAUGUAUGUUAAUAGUCUUU